AACGAACGCUGGCGGCAGGCUUAACACAUGCAAGUCGAGCGCCCCGCAAGGGGAGCGGCAGACGGGUGAGUAACGCGUGGGAAUCUACCCUUCACUACGGAACAACUCCGGGAAACUGGAGCUAAUACCGUAUACGUCCUUCGGGAGAAAGAUUUAUCGGUGAUGGAUGAGCCCGCGUUGGAUUAGCUAGUUGGUGGGGUAAUGGCCUACCAAGGCGACGAUCCAUAGCUGGUCUGAGAGGAUGAUCAGCCACAUUGGGACUGAGACACGGCCCAAACUCCUACGGGAGGCAGCAGUGGGGAAUAUUGGACAAUGGGCGAAAGCCUGAUCCAGCCAUGCCGCGUGAGUGAUGAAGGCCCUAGGGUUGCAAAGCUCUUUCACCGGUGAAGAUAAUGACGGUAACCGGAGAAGAAGCCCCGGCUAACUUCGUGCCAGCCGCCGCCGUAA
rnacentral:rRNA from 1 species